rnacentral:rRNA from 1 species
UACGUAGGGAGCAAGCGUUGUCCGGAAUCAUUGGGCGUAAAGGGUGCGUAGGCGGCGCGGUAAGUCGGGUGUGAAAUCUCGGAGCUUAACUCCGAAACUGCAUUCGAUACUGCCGUGCUUGAGGACUGGAGAGGAGACUGGAAUUUACGGUGUAGCGGUGAAAUGCGUAGAUAUCGUAAGGAAGACCAGUGGCGAAGGCGGGUCUCUGGACAGUUCCUGACGCUGAGGCACGAAGGUCAGGGGAGCAAACGGGG